rnacentral:rRNA from 1 species
AAUGAACGCUGGCGGCAGGCCUAACACAUACAAGUCGAACGGAUCCUUCGGGAUUUGUGGCGGACGGGUGAGUAACGCGUGGGAACAUACCCUUAGGUACGGAAUAGCCUCGGGAAACUGGGAGUAAUACCGUAUGUGGUCGAGAGACGAAAGACUUAUCGCCAAAGGAUUGGCCCGCGUUGGAUUAGGUAGUUGGUGGGGUAAUGGCCUACCAAGCCGACGAUCCAUAGCUGGUUUGAGAGGAUGAUCAGCCACACUGGGACUGAGACACGGCCCAGACUCCUACGGGAGGCAGCAGUGGGGAAUCUUAGACAAUGGGGGAAACCCUGAUCUAGCCAUGCCGCGUGAUCGAUGAAGGCCUUAGGGUUGUAAGGAUCUUUCAGGUGGGAAGAUAAUGACUGUACCACCAGAAGAAGCCCCGGCUAACUCCGUGCCAGCAGCCGCCGUAA